UGUAAGGAAUCGUCGCACUAUGGAACA
rnacentral:piRNA from 1 species